AUGGACAGUCAUACAGAGACCCAAAACCUAAAUCCCUAACUAAAACACGCACUGUUCCUCUUCUCCAAAUCGAAUCCAGCCCUAUUUCAGCCUAAAUCCAUGGCGAGUGACUCCACACUCAUAACCACACGUUCCUCCUUCUCUCCUCAUCACCAUUUCUAACAGUUUCUGACACCGAAGAUUCUCCUUCCUUUCGCUUGAUCGAUUUUGAGAUAAGGCACGCGAUUGGAAGGUCCUAAAGACGAUUCGUUGGAUGAGUGUGAGACGUUGGAUUGUUUUCGUUCAAUCCGAGCCCCACAUUCAUCAGGGGUUCGUUUUUAUAAGGGAUCAGAUCCAAUUUUGAAGAGGGAGGAUAUUUUCAGAGGGACUUGGGAAAAUUUCAACAGAGAGGAUCUUGGGAAGAGAUUUGAGAGAUUUCUUUUCUCCAUUUUAUUUGUUCCUUCAAUUCUGAUACUAAAAAAGCAGAAAAAGAAUCAUUGAGUUUUUUUUUGCUGUUUCAUUUUCAUGGCGACCAUUGUUUAAAUCUUCUUUUUUUUUUUCAAAUCUCUAGAACUCAUCUUCUUCAUUUUGAUUCUAGAUUUUAGUUUAAAAAAUGGAAAUCAUUUGAAAAGUUUGAGGCUGUUGCUGCUCAAGGACUAAUUUAGCUGCUAUUUGCUUCCUCUUGGUCGAUUUCAAUGUUGUACUAAUUCAGUUUCUCAACUCCAGCUGCAAGUGAUGAUUGAAGUUGAGCUGUUUCUUUGAAUGCGCAUAUGUUGGAUCAUUUUGAUUUUUUUUCUCUGGUUGAAACCUCCUCAGAUUCUAAGAGCCAGAUGGAUGAUUCAUUCUCUCGUAAUUGAAAGAGUUCUUGCAUGAUUGCUAUAUUUGAAUGCAGAUUUGAAAUGGUUUUAAUUGUCCUUGCAAAUGGAUCAAGUCUGCUUUGUUUUCUUGUAAAUAUUUAGCUGCAGUUUGGUUUUUUUAGCAUCAGUUGGAUGAAAUGCUCGGAAGCUUCUUUACUGAUUUUCCUUUGCCUUAAUAUAGACACUAGUUGAAUCAUCUUGCUUUCUGUAAAUCUUAGUGUUGGUUAAGCUUUAAGCUAAAGGUUCUCAUGUUGCCUCAUCUAUUUGAGCUUCACGUCUAGAUGUUGACAGUUAAAUCAUUCUUAAGAAACUAAAUAUUUUGUAGUCUUCCA